GUGGGGAAUAUUCCGCAAUGGACGAAAGUCUGACGGAGCAACGCCGCGUGAGUGAUGAAGGUUUUCGGACUGUAAAGCUCUGUUGUUUAGGACGAAAGUGCCUGUUGCAAAUAGUUACAGGUAUUGACGGUACUGAACGAGGAAGCCACGGCUAACUACGUGCCAGCAGCCGCGGUAAUACGUAGGUGGCAAGCGUUGUCCGGAAUUAUUGGGCGUAAAGAGCAUGUAGGCGGGAAUCUAAGUCUGUUGUGAAAAUGCGGGGCUCAACCCCGUAUUGCGAUGGAAACUGGGUGUCUUGAGUGCAGGAGAGGAAAGGGGAAUUCCCAGUGUAGCGGUGAAAUGCGUAGAUAUUGGGAGGAACACCAGUGGCGAAGGCGCCUUUCUGGACUGUGUCUGACGCUGAGAUGCGAAAGCCAGGGUAGCGAACGGGAUUAGAUACCCCAGUAGUCC
rnacentral:rRNA from 1 species